GAUGAACGCUAGCGGCAGGCUUAAUACAUGCAAGUCGAGGGGCAGCAUGAAGUAGCAAUCCUUUGAUGGCGACCGGCAAACGGGUGCGGAACACGUACACAACCUUCCUUUAAGUGGGGAAUAGCCCAGAGAAAUUUGGAUUAAUACCCCGUAACACAACGAAGUGGCAUCACUUUGUUGUUAUAGUUUCGGCGCUUAAUGAUGGGUGUGCGUAUGAUUAGAUAGUUGGCGAGGUAACGGCUCACCAAGUCUACGAUCAUUAGCUGAUGUGAGAGCAUGAUCAGCCACACGGGCACUGAGACACGGGCCCGACUCCUACGGGAGGCAGCAGUAAGGAAUAUUGGUAAAUGGACGCAAGUCUGAACCAGCCAUGCCGCGUGAAGGAUUAAGGUCCUCUGGAUUGUAAACUUCUUUUAUAUGGGACGAAAAAAGGUCUUUCUAGACCCCUUGACGGUACCAUAUGAAUAAGCACCGGCUAACUCCGUG
rnacentral:rRNA from 1 species